rnacentral:tRNA from 1 species
GGGGCUAUGGUUCAAGUGGUAGAGCACUUGCCUAGCAAGCAGGAAGCACUGAGUUUAAUCUAGUAUCCCCA